GGAAUGCCAUACCUUGUUAAGCUCAUAAUUAAAUUCCCAAUCGAUUGGCGAUUAAACCUGAAAACUUUAAUUUGUGACCAAUGUUCAAAAAAUUGUAAUGGUGAUCUUUGGCCUAGGCUGUUAGUGUUAUUUUAUAAAUAUUUCAAAAUCCUAAAACCCAUUGGACAUCUGUGAUUCGUUAUAACAAAAUACUCCGAGCAAAACUCAAUGAAAGCUUUUCAUUAUUAUCCGGAAACGAUUCUCCCAUUUUGAGCAAUAUGACUGUGAGAAUCAAAAAUAGAACUGCGAAUAUAAUUUAAGACGAGAGAUUAAAUAGCUUUUGCGUUUGACUCUUUCAAUUGUCGAGCGAUGACUGAUCACGAUAAAUACUUUUCGCCUUGAUAUUCAUUGAACUUGGCCAUUGUGGUAGAUGCAGAAGUGGAAAUAUUUUCAAAUCUGUGCAUGGUACUACUGAGUAAAUGAAAGUGAUUGCCAGCGAGGAAAAUGAAAACGAACCACUAAGAAAGCUAUCAAGACUUAAAGUAGACAAUCAGUGGUGGGCACUUUUUAUUGAAAACUUCAUUUUACGAGUAACUUACUCUCCUCGACAACUCUCCCUGCCAAAUGACAAUUGAUUUGUGCAUCCGCUUUUGGCUCUGGAUGCCAGCAAUCAGCCAGAUCCCGGCAUGAAUGGAAAUUUAAAAGCCAUAAAUCUUGGGGAUUUUAUAUCAUCUGUAACUAUGGCAACAACAGCGUUGCAAUCAAAUUAACUGGCAAGAAGCAGGAAACAAUUCCCCCCCAGUAGUGUUGCUAACUUAGCUUUUUCUAGACGAAUUUCGAUGGAAUUUCCAAGACCCUGAUUUUCAAAAAAUAUUUAUUUAAGAUUUUGGAGCCUAAAAAUGUAGCCAAAACUAAAAGAGAGAAAUUUAAAUAGUUGAGGUCACUACACCAUUGAGUAAGGCAAGGAAACUGAAGAAAAAAGGAAAGUUGUCAUCCCGGGAUCGAUUGUCUCUUGUCGGCUAGUUCCAGCACGCGUCUAUGACGAAAUGUGUUUGGAAAACGCCUGUUUCUUCGCCCUCCGAUGCGUCGAUUCCACUUGCCACCUGUCAGACGUCAGCGGCGGCUUAGCAGCUUAAAUUGUAAGACGAUGGGGGGAUGGGGAUGCUCCACAUUGUCAACGGCCUCAACACCUUGGAAAUGCGACAAAGGAGCGGAGACUCCAGCCCAACAUAAUUUGCUCCAAGCUGUUCGGAGUGAGACCGUCUGCAUGUGUGUGAUGUGUUUAUUUUUAAAGCAAAGCACUGGACUACAAGUUAUGGAUUUUAAGGAACGGUUUUUAAAAACAUUUGAUGUUUAUUAGUAUUUUUAACAAUAAAACUCCAGAAAAGAUGCCUUAAAGUA